UACGGAGGGUGCGAGCGUUGGUCCGGAAUCACUGGGCGUAAAGGGCGCGUAGGCGGCGCGACAAGCGUGGGGUGAAAGUCCGGGGCUCAACCCCGGAUCGGCCGCUCCGCGAACUGUCGCGCUCGAGCACAGUAGAGGCGGGUGGAAUUCCGGGUGUAGCGGUGGAAUGCGUAGAGAUCCGGAAGAACACCGGUGGCGAAGGCGGCCCGCUGGGCUGUGGCUGACGCUGAGGCGCGACAGCGUGGGGAGCAAACGAGGAUUAGAGUAC
rnacentral:rRNA from 1 species